UACAGAGGUCUCGAGCGUUAGGCGGAAUCACUGGGCUUAAAGCGUGUGUAGGCGGGUCGUUAAGUGCCUUGUGAAAUCCCAUGGCUCAACCAUGGAACUGCUGGGCAUACUGGCGAUCUUGUGCCACCUAGGGGCGAGCGGAACAGAUGGUGGAGCGGUGAAAUGCGUAGAUAUCAGGAAGAACACCUAUGGCGAAGGCAGCUCUCUGGGACGGUACUGACGCUGAGACGCGAAAGCGUGGGGAGCGAACAGG
rnacentral:rRNA from 1 species